GGGUCAGUAGGUUGGUCGUGCCACCGGUACGUACUGGUCUCACUGAUUCCUCCUUCCUGAAGAACCGUAAUGCCAUUAAUUUGGUGUUGCGGGGAAACAGCACUGUUACUUUGAAAAAAUUAGAGUGUUUAAAGCAAGCUGACGCUUGAAUACAUUAGCAUGGAAUAAUGAAAUAGGACGAUCGAUCCUAUUUUGUUGGUUUCUAGGAUUGACGUA
rnacentral:rRNA from 1 species